rnacentral:rRNA from 1 species
AUGCCUAAUAUACUUAGUUUAACCUGUAUCUGUUUUAAUUCUGUUCUUUACCCAACUUUUUUUUUUGCCAAAUUACCCGAAGCUUAUGCUAUUUUCAAUCCAAUCAUGGAUAUUAUGCCUGUUAUACCUCUAUUCUUUUUUCUAUUAGCCUUUGUUUGGCAAGCUGCUGUAAGUUUUUGA